rnacentral:rRNA from 1 species
AUUGAACGCUAGCGGGAUGCUUUACACAUGCAAGUUGAUCGAGUGGAGGACGGGUGCGUAAUAUAUCGGAACGUGCCCAGCCACGGGGGCUAACUACUCGGAGGAGUGGCUAAUACCGCAUACUCAUGGAGCGGCCGAUAUCGGAAUAGCGAGUUGGUGGGGGAAAGGCACACGAAGGCAACGAACCGUAGCUGGUUUGAGAGGAAUACGAACCACACUGGGACUGAUACACGGCGCGGACUCCUACGGUGGGCAGCAGUGGGGAAUUUUGGACAAGAGGGGAAUCCCUGAUCCAGCCAUCCCGAGUGUAUGAGAAGGCCUGCGGGUUGUAAAGUACUUUUGGCAGAGAAGCGGUAUCUGCAGAAUAAGCACCGGCUAACUAUGUACCAGCAGCCGCGGUAAUAC